UACGAAGGGGGCUAGCGUUGUUCGGAAUUACUGGGCGUAAAGCGCACGUAGGCGGAUUGGUAAGUCUGGGGUGAAAUCCUGAGGCUCAACCUCAGAACUGCCUUCGAUACUGGCGAUCUUGAGUUCGGAAGAGGUUGGUGGAACAGCUAGUGUAGAGGUGAAAUUCGUAGAUAUUAGCUAGAACACCAGUGGCGAAGGCGGCCAACUGGUCCGAUACUGACGCUGAGGUGCGAAAGCGUGGGGAGCAAACAGG
rnacentral:rRNA from 1 species